CCGGCGAUGUCCGAAUGGGGAAACCCAGUGCAAUUCGUUGCACUAUCGUUAACUGAAUACAUAGGUUAACGAGGCGAACCGGGGGAACUGAAACAUCUAAGUACCCCGAGGAAAAGAAAUCAACCGAGAUUCCCCCAGUAGCGGCGAGCGAACGGGGAGCAGCCCAGAGUCUGAAUCAGCUUGUGUGUUAGUGGAACGGUCUGGAAAGUCCGACGGUACAGGGUGAUAGUCCCGUACACCAAAAUGCACAGGCUGUGAACUCGAAGAGUAGGGCGGGACACGUGGUAUCCUGUCUGAAUAUGGGGGGACCAUCCUCCAAGGCUAAAUACUCCUGACUGACCGAUAGUGAACCAGUACCGUGAGGGAAAGGCGAAAAGAACCCCGGCGAGGGGAGUGAAAAAGAACCUGAAACCGUGUACGUACAAGCAGUGGGAGCACCUUCGGGUGUGACUGCGUACCUUUUGUAUAAUGGGUCAGCGACUUAUAUUCUGUAGCAAGGUUAACCGUAUAGGGGAGCCGCAGGGAAACCGAGUCUUAACUGGGCGUUAAGUUGCAGGGUAUAGACCCGAAACCCGGUGAUCUAGCCAUGGGCAGGUUGAAGGUUGGGUAACACUAACUGGAGGACCGAACCGACUAAUGUUGAAAAAUUAGCGGAUGACUUGUGGCUGGGGGUGAAAGGCCAAUCAAACCGGGAGAUAGCUGGUUCUCCCCGAAAGCUAUUUAGGUAGCGCCUCGUGAACUCAUCUUCGGGGGUAGAGCACUGUUUCGGCUAGGGGGUCAUCCCGACUUACCAACCCGAUGCAAACUACGAAUACCGAAGAAUGUUAUCACGGGAGACACACGGCGGGUGCUAACGUCCGUCGUGAAGAGGGAAACAACCCAGACCGCCAGCUAAGGUCCCAAAGUCAUGGUUAAGUGGGAAACGAUGUGGGAAGGCACAGACAGCCAGGAUGUUGGCUUAGAAGCAGCCAUCAUUUAAAGAAAGCGUAAUAGCUCACUGGUCGAGUCGGCCUGCGCGGAAGAUGUAACGGGGCUAAACCAUGCACCGAAGCUGCGGCAGCGACACUAUGUGUUGUUGGGUAGGGGAGCGUUCUGUAAGCCUGCGAAGGUGUGCUGUGAGGCAUGCUGGAGGUAUCAGAAGUGCGAAUGCUGACAUAAGUAACGAUAAAGCGGGUGAAAAGCCCGCUCGCCGGAAGACCAAGGGUUCCUGUCCAACGUUAAUCGGGGCAGGGUGAGUCGACCCCUAAGGCGAGGCCGAAAGGCGUAGUCGAUGGGAAACAGGUUAAUAUUCCUGUACUUGGUGUUACUGCGAAGGGGGGACGGAGAAGGCUAUGUUAGCCGGGCGACGGUUGUCCCGGUUUAAGCAUGUAGGCUGGUUGUCCAGGCAAAUCCGGAUAAUCAAGGCUGAGGUGUGAUGACGAGGCACUACGGUGCUGAAGUAACAAAUGCCCUGCUUCCAGGAAAAGCCUCUAAGCAUCAGGUAACAUCAAAUCGUACCCCAAACCGACACAGGUGGUCAGGUAGAGAAUACCAAGGCGCUUGAGAGAACUCGGGUGAAGGAACUAGGCAAAAUGGUGCCGUAACUUCGGGAGAAGGCACGCUGGUGUGUAGGUGAAGCCCCUGCGGGUGGAGCUGAGACCAGUCGAAGAUACCAGCUGGCUGCAACUGUUUAUUAAAAACACAGCACUGUGCAAACACGAAAGUGGACGUAUACGGUGUGACGCCUGCCCGGUGCCGGAAGGUUAAUUGAUGGGGUUAUCCGUAAGGAGAAGCUCUUGAUCGAAGCCCCGGUAAACGGCGGCCGUAACUAUAACGGUCCUAAGGUAGCGAAAUUCCUUGUCGGGUAAGUUCCGACCUGCACGAAUGGCGUAAUGAUGGCCAGGCUGUCUCCACCCGAGACUCAGUGAAAUUGAACUCGCUGUGAAGAUGCAGUGUACCCGCGGCAAGACGGAAAGACCCCGUGAACCUUUACUAUAGCUUGACACUGAACAUUGAGCCUUGAUGUGUAGGAUAGGUGGGAGGCUUUGAAGCGUGGACGCCAGUCUGCGUGGAGCCAACCUUGAAAUACCACCCUUUAAUGUUUGAUGUUCUAACGUUGGCCCCUUACCGGGGUUGCGGACAGUGUCUGGUGGGUAGUUUGACUGGGGCGGUCUCCUCCCAAAGCGUAACGGAGGAGCACGAAGGUUAGCUAAUCCUGGUCGGACAUCAGGAGGUUAGUGCAAUGGCAUAAGCUAGCUUGACUGCGAGCGUGACGGCGCGAGCAGGUGCGAAAGCAGGUCAUAGUGAUCCGGUGGUUCUGAAUGGAAGGGCCAUCGCUCAACGGAUAAAAGGUACUCCGGGGAUAACAGGCUGAUACCGCCCAAGAGUUCAUAUCGACGGCGGUGUUUGGCACCUCGAUGUCGGCUCAUCACAUCCUGGGGCUGAAGUAGGUCCCAAGGGUAUGGCUGUUCGCCAUUUAAAGUGGUACGCGAGCUGGGUUUAGAACGUCGUGAGACAGUUCGGUCCCUAUCUGCCGUGGGCGCUGGAGAAUUGAGGGGGGCUGCUCCUAGUACGAGAGGACCGGAGUGGACGCAUCACUGGUGUUCGGGUUGUCAUGCCAAUGGCACUGCCCGGUAGCUAAAUGCGGAAGAGAUAAGUGCUGAAAGCAUCUAAGCACGAAACUUGCCCCGAGAUGAGUUCUCCCUGAGACUUUAAGUCUCCUGAAGGAACGUUAAAGACGAUGACGUUGAUAGGCCGGGUGUGUAAGCGCAGCGAUGCGUUGAGCUAACCGGUACUAAUGAACCGUGAGGCUUAACCUUACAACGCCGAAG
rnacentral:rRNA from 1 species